rnacentral:rRNA from 1 species
GACGAACGCUGGCGGCGUGCCUAAUACAUGCAAGUAGAACGCUGAAGGAGGAGCUUGCUCUUCUGGAUGAGUUGCGAACGGGUGAGUAACGCGUAGGUAACCUGCCUGGUAGUGGGGGAUAACUAUUGGAAACGAUAGCUAAUACCGCAUAAUAACAGUUGUUGCAUGACAACUGUUUGAAAGGUGCAAUUGCAUCACUACCAGAUGGACCUGCGUUGUAUUAGCUAGUUGGUGGGGUAACGGCUCACCAAGGCGACGAUACAUAGCCGACCUGAGAGGGGGAUCGGCCACACUGGGACUGAGACACGGCCCAGACUCCUACGGGAGGCAGCAGUAGGGAAUCUUCGGCAAUGGACGAAAGUCUGACCGAGCAACGCCGCGUGAGUGAAGAAGGUUUUCGGAUCGUAAAGCUCUGUUGUAAGAGAAGAACGAGUGUGAGAGUGGAAAGUUCACACUGUGACGGUAUCUUACCAGAAAGGGACGGCUAACUACGUG